UAAGUAUAGCUUAAAAAAAGCAAUUGAAUGUUAAUCAAAAGAAGAAAUCAAAUUCUAUUUAG
rnacentral:tRNA from 1 species